UACGUAGGGUGCAAGCGUUGUCCGGAAUUAUUGGGCGUAAAGAGCUUGUAGGCGGUUUGUCGCGUCUGCUGUGAAAUUUCGGGGCUCAACCCCGAACUUGCAGUGGGUACGGGCAGACUAGAGUGUGGUAGGGGAGACUGGAAUUCCUGGUGUAGCGGUGAAAUGCGCAGAUAUCAGGAGGAACACCGAUGGCGAAGGCAGGUCUCUGGGCCACUACUGACGCUGAGGCGCGAAAGCGUGGGGAGCAAACAGG
rnacentral:rRNA from 1 species